GAUCUGUAUACUUCUCAGGGUGGGAGUAGGCCAGGGAGAAGAAAAUGCUCAUGGCACCAAAGAGUCUCUGUGUGGUUUUUACAAGAACAAGAAGAUGAAUAUGGGGAAAAAUUUUCUCGCAAAAGACUUCGCUCCCUGUGCCAACCGGAAUGGCCAGCCUUUGGGACACUGGAACCCCAUUGGAAGGGACCAUUUCCCCUUGUCCUGGUGACCCCCUCAGUGGUGAAGGUAGCUGGACACUCUGCCUGGAUCCACUGUGGUCAUUUGAAGGUGGCACCCCCUGAGGAAGCAAUGUUGACAUGGCAGAUCGACUGGAACAAAGAGGACCCCCCUCAAGAUAAGAUGAAUCAAGGACUGAGAUGGGUAAAGUGGGGAUUUAUAGGAACCUUGGUCCUGUUGGCUCGGGUACGAGGAGAUGUUCAAUGGCUGGUGCCUUCCAGCCAUGCCCCCAAAAUUGGACAUGGUCUCUCAAAAAUUCACUUACUGGAGCCCUGAUUGCCAUUGUCACAACAGACAGACAGCCCAUCUUUCAGGUUGACUUGUGUGAUAUAGGACUAGUUACUGGGACUGUGGGAGUGUCUGAUGUUGCAGAACCAUGUUCAGAUCCCUCUUCAACCCCUGGGGGAAAACGGGGAUGGUCUACACUUAACAGAAAAAAGGGUCUCCAGACCAUAGAUAUUUAUGCAUGGCCUAUAUGUAAAGACCCAAAAUGUAAUGGGGGGCCAGGAUACCAUUGUUACUAUUGGGGCUGUGAGUCCAUAGCCCCAUGGAAAAAUAAUGACCAGUAUUUAGCCUUGGAGCAGCGAACAGCUAGUAGCUCAUGCUCCCUGGGACAUUGUAACCCCAUUCGGUUAAUGCUAAAACAAUGGCAAAACCCAUACAAAGAAUGGGAGGAAGGUAAAUCUUGGAUGGUGGCACUGAAUACAAAUGGGCAAGACCCAAUGACAGACAUCAUCAUUCAGUGAAGUCUGGUAGUGACACCACCCAAACCAGUGGGAAACCUUUAUAAGAUAUUGAGCCCCCCAAAAGGCAGUGGCCAACCCCACAGGCGCAGAGGAAAUUCCACUUCCUCACUGCUGAGAAAGAAAACACGCACUCACCCCGCUUGCUGCCUGGGUAACACCCUACCCAACAAGGUCCCUGUAACUGCCCCAGAGUCACCAAUCCAACCAUACUUCAAAAUGCUGGGUGC
rnacentral:lncRNA from 1 species